AGACUCCGUCAGGCAAUCGCGCGGUAUCAAGCCGAAAGGUCUUACCGUGAGGAAAGUCCGGGCUUUCGGGGAAAGGAUAACGGAUAACGUCCGCCGGUGGUGACACCCGGGAAAGUGCAACAGAAACAGACAGCCGAACGGCUCCUUGGAGUGCGUGGUGAUGGUGGAAAGGUGUGGUAAGAGCGCACCCAUCCGUAUGGCAACAUACGCCUGCUGUAAACCCUAUCCGAAGCAACACCUAUGCGGUUCACCCCCGUAUGCGGCGAAAGCCGCAGCCGCGUUGGUGGCGUGUGUGUGGAGAGAUUCACCGCAGAGUAUUUCAGCAAUGGAAUACGGAGAUAGAUGAUUGCCCAAGACAGAACCCGGCUUAUCGAUGGAGUCUAUUU
rnacentral:RNase_P_RNA from 1 species